AACGUAGGUGGCGAGCGUUAUCCGGAUUUACUGGGCGUAAAGCGUGUGCAGGUGGCCUGUUAAGUGGUGUAUGAAAUCGCCCGGCUCAACCGGGCGGGGUUAUGCCAGACUGGCAGGCUAGAGGGUGGGAGAGGGAUGUGGAAUUCCGGGUGUAGUGGUGAAAUGCGUAGAGAUCGGGAGGAACACCUGUGGCGAAGGCGCCGGCUGGGGGUGCCCUGACGCUGAGGCGCGAAAGCGUGGGGAGCGAACCGG
rnacentral:rRNA from 1 species